UACAGAGGGUGCAAGCGUUAAUCGGAAUUACUGGGCGUAAAGCGCGCGUAGGUGGUUCUAUAAGUUGGAUGUGAAAUCCCCGGGCUUAACCUGGGAAGGUCAUCCAGUACUGUAGGACUAGAGUACAGUAGAGGGAAGUGGAAUUUCCGGUGUAGCGGUGAAAUGCGUAGAUAUCGGAAGGAACACCAGUGGCGAAGGCGGCUUCCUGGCCUGAUACUGACACUGAGGGGCGAAAGCGUGGGGAGCAAACAGG
rnacentral:rRNA from 1 species